GAGAGACUGAAAGCUGCAGAUCAGAGGAAGAGGAGCUCGGACGGGAGACAUGAAUGAAGCAAAGAGGAGGAAGAUUUCAUCCAAAAGAGAUGAGCAGAGCGGAGCAGAUGAAGAGAGAGGAGCAGAGGAGAGUGAAGAGGAGAGAGACAUGAACAGAGUACCGAGGAGGAAGAUUCCACCUAGAAGAGAUGAGCAGAACGAGUCCGAUGAUGAGAGACGAGCAGAGGAGAGAGGAGCAGAGGAGAGAGGACAGAA